rnacentral:rRNA from 1 species
CCUACGGGUGGCAGCAGUGAGGAAUAUUGGUCAAUGGGCGAGAGCCUGAACCAGCCAAGUCGCGUGAAGGAUGAAGGAUCUAUGGUUUGUAAGCUUCUUUUAUAGGGGAAUAAAGUGAGGAACGUGUUCCUUUUUGUAUGUACCAUAUGAAUAAGCAUCGGCUAACUCCGUGCCAGCAGCCGCGGUAAUACGGAGGGUGCGAGCGUUAUCCGGAUUGAUUGGGUUUAAAGGGUGCGUAGGUGGUUAAUUAAGUCAGCGGUGAAAGUUCGUGGCUCAACCAUAAAAUUGCCUUUGAACUGGGUUGACUGGAGUAUAUUUGAGGUAGGCGGAAUGCGUGGGGUAGCGGUGAAAUGCA